rnacentral:rRNA from 1 species
CGCCUGGGGAGUACGGCCGCAAGGCUAAAACUCAAAGGAAUUGACGGGGCCCCGCACAAGCGGCGGAGCAUGCGGAUUAAUUCGAUGCAACGCGUAGAACCUUACCUGGGUUUGACAUGGAUCGGGAGUGCUCAGAGAUGGGUGUGCCUCUUUUGGGGUCGGUUCACAGGUGGUGCAUGGCUGUCGUCAGCUCGUGUCGUGAGAUGUUGGGUUAAGUCCCGCAACGAGCGCAACCCUUGUUCACUGUUGCCAGCACGUUAUGGUGGGGACUCAGUGGAGACCGCCGGGGUCAACUCGGAGGAAGGUGGGGAUGACGUCAAGUCAUCAUGCCCCUUAUAUCCAGGGCUUCACGCAUGCUACAAUGGCUGGUACAGAGAGUGGCGAGCCUGUGAGGGUGAGCGAAUCUCGGAAAGCCGGUCUCAGUUCGGAUUGGGGUCUGCAACUCGACCUCAUGAAGUCGGAGUCGCUAGUAAUCGCAGAUCAGCAACGCUGCGGUGAAUACGUUCCCGGGGCUUGUACACACCGCCCGUCAAGUCAUGAAAGUUGGUAACACCCGAAGCCGGUGGCCUAACCGUUGUGGGGGAGCCGUCGAAGGUGGGACUGGUGAUUAGGACUAAGUCGUAACAAGGUAACCGUA